rnacentral:rRNA from 1 species
UACGUAUGGUGCAAGCGUUAUCCGGAUUUACUGGGCGUAAAGGGUGCGUAGGCGGAAUGGUAAGUCAGAUGUGAAAACUAUGGGCUCAACCCAUAGCCUGCAUUUGAAACUGCCGAUCUAGAGUGCAGGAGAGGAAAGUGGAAUUCCUAGUGUAGCGGUGAAAUGCGUAGAUAUUAGGAGGAACACCAGUGGCGAAGGCGGCUUUCCGGACUGUAACUGACGCUGAGGCACGAAAGCGUGGGGAGCAAAC